UUUGGGCUGCUCCUUCCUCUUCCUCCGCCUUUGCCGUUGUCGGCGGCAGAGGAGGAGGAAGGAGCAGCCCAAA